UCGUUUGAGGAGAAGUACGUGGAACUGAGCUGUCUUGGCCAAGGUGGCUUCGGCUCAGUCUACGCAGGACUCCGUAUAGAUGACAAUCUGCCUGUGGCAGUCAAGCAUGUUCCCAUUGAUAAGGUGAUAAAUACACCUGUGACCCUGCGUGGGAAGCUCC